AUGACUCCCAUGUGGCUCUUCCUCUUCCUGCUGUCAGCUCCCAGAUGUUCAGUCACCAGCAGUGACUACUGGAGCUGGAUCCGCCAGCGCCCAGGGAAAGGGUUGCAGUGGAUGAGGUACUGGACAGGGAGCACAAGGUACAACCCAGCCUUCCAGGGCCGUAUCUCCAUUACUGCUGUCAUGGCCAGGAACCAGUUCUCCCUGCAGCUGAGCUCAGUGACCACCGAGGACACAGACGUUUAUUACUGUGGGAGACACAUCACCAGCAGUUACUGGUGGAGCUGGAUCCGCCAGCCCCCAGGGAAGGGGCUGGAGUGGAUUGGGAGCAUAUGGCAUGAUGGAGACACUAACUACAGCCCCUCGCUCAAGAGCCGAACCUCCAUCUCCAUAGACACAUCCAAGAACCAGUUCUCCCUGCAGCUGAGCUCCGUGACCACCGAGGACACGGCCGUGUAUUAUUGUGCCAGAUACACA